CUGAAUUCUUAAAGAGCUGCGGUAAUUUGACCGUGCAAAGGUAGCAAAAUAAGUAGUCUUUUAAUUGAAGGCUUGUAUGAAAGGUUUGACAUGAAAGCGACUGUCUCUUAAACUUAUUUUGAAUUUAACAUCUGUGUGAAAAGGCAUAGGUGAAUUGGGGGGACGAUAAGACCCUAUAAAACUUAAUAUUAGUGGCUUUUGUUUUAGAAUUGUUUUAAUUAAUAGAUAGAGGCUUUAAUUAUUUUACUGGGGAGGUUGAGAUAAAGUCAAACUGUCUUUAGACUUAAAAUAAUUAUAAUUAGAGGUUGAUCCAUUAUUGUUGAUUUUAAGUUCAAGUUACUUUAGGGAUAACAGCGUAAUUUCUUUUGAGAGUUCUUAUCGACAAUGUUAGUUGCGACCUCGAUGUUGAAUUAAAAUUUCUUUUGGGGGCAGGCAAUUAAUUAAGUGGGUCUGUUCGACCUUUAAAAUUUUACAUGAUUUGAGUUCAGACCGGUGCGAG
rnacentral:rRNA from 1 species